rnacentral:rRNA from 1 species
AUUGAACGCUGGCGGCAGGCCUAACACAUGCAAGUCGAGCGCGAAAGGCCUUCGGGCUGAGUAGAGCGGCGGACGGGUGAGUAACGCGUAGGAAUCUACCUGGUAGUGGGGGACAACUUGGGGAAACUCAAGCUAAUACCGCAUACGCCCCAAGGGGGAAAGCGGGGGACCUUCGGGCCUAGCGCUAUCAGAGGAGCCUGCGUAGGAUUAGCUAGUUGGUAGGGUAAAGGCCUACCAAGGCGACGAUCCUUAGCUGGUCUGAGAGGAUGAUCAGCCACACUGGGACUGAGACACGGCCCAGACUCCUACGGGAGGCAGCAGUGGGGAAUAUUGCGCAAUGGGGGCAACCCUGACGCAGCCAUGCCGCGUGUGUGAAGAAGGCCUUCGGGUUGUAAAGCACUUUCAAUGGGGAAGAAAAGCGUAGCGUUAAUAGCGUUGCGCCGUGACGUUACCCAUAGAAGAAGCACCGGCUAACUCCGUGCCAGCAGCCGCCGUAAGAC